UGACAAUCCGGCUGGGGAGUUAUGUCUAAGAUCAAUGGCACUAAAGCCCCAUUACUAUAAUUUAAAUAUCUGCAAACUCUGCCACUAGGGCACCAUUAAGAACAAAAAUCUGUAAAUUGUGUUAUUGACUCACAUUGUACUCCAUAACUCCUUUUAUCUACUCCAAUGUAGUUAUAAUUGGAGUCAUGGUUUUAAAUAAUGGCUGUUAUGUAACAUAAUGGCUGUUAUUUACAUGUUUCAGGGGAUACCGUUACAAAUACCCCAGUAACUAAUGAGUAUAAAAUUUUGGGGCUGGUAACUGCCACCAAGUAAUGGUAACGACUGUCACUAGCCUUUACUUGAAAGGAUAACAGACUUAACCAUAAACAAGAACCUCAUAGAAACUCUUUUUUAGU
rnacentral:misc_RNA from 1 species